rnacentral:lncRNA from 1 species
CCGGGGUUUUAAAUUAAAUCUAAGGCCUUAAUCAGAUUAUGACAUGAGAUUUGGAUGGCUAGGAUCUGGUUUGACCUGGUCAAACAACUAUAAGGGAGUCUGAUUAUUGAAAAGAAGUCAUACGAUGCUUAAACAUCGUAUGGAUUCAUAACGCGUAACAACGGUCCUUCUGAUUAAAGGACGUAUUUGAUACAUUAAUAAUUAGAUUCAAGACUUUUACAAAUAAACAUAUUAGCAUCUAUUCAUACAUUAUAAAUAUCCACCCUUUGGUUUUGAUAAAGAUCAAUCAGAAGUCCAAUAAAGUUUCUUCCUUCCCUUCUUUAAGACAAGGUCUUGUAGUUUUAAGACAAGGGAUCUUCUUUAAGACAAGAUCUUAGACUUCAAGAUAAGGAGUCUUCUUUUAGGACAAGGGUUUAAGAAGAUCUUUUUGAAAGGCUAAGAGAAGGGUUUAGGCCAUUUAAGAGAGAAUUGGUGAAGGAGUGCUGGAAAUUGGUCCUAGCAAGGCAAGAUAGUUUACGAGAGGAGAAUUUGAUAAGACAAGCUUCUGUCGGAGUAGUUACUUGAUCCUGAUUUCAUGUGGAUCACCUAUUGGAGGCUGAACAUUUGGAUGCCUCAUGGAAAAGAAAGGAUACUGACUUCUUCUAUUCUUUACCGACCUAAAAUUUCAUAUCUAAACCUCACUUAUAGGCAUAUAUGUUUGAUUGAAUACACCAGGGG